rnacentral:rRNA from 1 species
AAGGAUGAUCAGCCACACUGGAACUGAGACACGGUCCAGACUCCUACGGGAGGCAGCAGUGGGGAAUAUUGCACAAUGGGGGAAACCCUGAUGCAGCCAUGCCGCGUGUGUGAAGAAGGCCUUCGGGUUGUAAAGCACUUUCAGCGAGGAGGAAAGGUUGGUAGCGAAUAACUGCCAGCUGUGACGUUACUCGCAGAAGAAGCACCGGCUAACUCCGUGCCAGCAGCCGCGGUAAUACGGAGGGUGCAAGCGUUAAUCGGAAUUACUGGGCGUAAAGCGCACGCAGGCGGUUGGAUAAGUUAGAUGUGAAAGCCCCGGGCUCAACCUGGGAAUUGCAUUUAAAACUGUCCAGCUAGAGUCUUGUAGAGGGGGGGUAGAAUUCCAGGUGUAGCGGUGAAAUGCGUAGAGAUCUGGAGGAAUACCGGUGGCGAAGGCGGCCCCCUGGACAAAGACUGACGCUCACGUGCGAAAGCGUGGGGAGCAACAGAUUAGAUACCCUGGUAGUCCACGCCGUAAACGAUGUCGAUUUGGAGGCUGUGUCCUUGAGACGUGGCUUCCGGGAGCUAACGCGUUUAAAUCGACCGCCUGGGGAGUACGCCGCACGAUAA